AGUGAACGCUGGCGGUAGGCCUAACACAUGCAAGUCGAACGGCAGCACAGUAAGAGCUUGCUCUUACGGGUGGCGAGUGGCGGACGGGUGAGGAAUAAAUUGGAAUUUAUUUUUUCGUGGGGGAUACGGAAGGGAAACUAAGGCUAAUACCGAAACCGACCUACGGGUGAAAGCAGGGGAUCUUCGGACCUUGCGCGAUUGAAUGAGCCGAUGUCGGAUUAGCUAGUUGGCGGGGUAAAGGCCCACCAAGGCGACGAUCCGUAGCUGGUCUGAGAGGAUGAUCAGCCACACUGGAACUGAGACACGGUCCAGACUCCUACGGGAGGCAGCAGUGGGGAAUAUUGGACAAUGGGCGCAAGCCUGAUCCAGCCAUACCGCGUGGGUGAAGAAGGCCUUCGGGUUGUAAAGCCCUUUUGUUGGGAAAGAAAAGCAGCAGGUUAAUACCCCGCUGUUCUGACGGUACCCAAAGAAUAAGCACCGGCUAACUUCGUG
rnacentral:rRNA from 1 species